rnacentral:rRNA from 1 species
CGCACGGAGUUAGCCGAUACGCUUAUUCUUACGGUACCGUCAAGCUCCUACUCGUAGAGAGUGUUUCUUCCCGUACAAAAGCAGUUUACACACCAUAGACGUGCGUCUUCCUGCACGCGGCAUGGCUGGAUCAGGCUUGCGCCCAUUGUCCAAUAUUUCUCA